rnacentral:rRNA from 1 species
CGCUAGUAAUCGCGGAUCAGCAUGCCGCGGUGAAUACGUUCCCGGGCCUUGUACGCACCGCCCGUCACACCACGAGAGUUGGCAACACCCGAAGUCGGUGAGGUAACCUUUAUGGAGCCAGCCGCCGAAGGUGGGGCCAAUGAUUGGGGUGAAGUCGUAACAAGGUAGCCGUAUCGGAAGGUGCGGCUGGA